GUUAUUUACAACAUCUGAGAUCUGGAAACAGCCCCCGUUGCCCAUGAGUAGGUGAGUGGGUUUUAAAAAUGUGGUACAUUCACACGCUGGAAUACUACGUGGCUGU